rnacentral:rRNA from 1 species
AACACAUGCAAGUCGAGCGGAAACGAUGAUAGCUUGCUAUCAGGCGUCGAGCGGCGGACGGGUGAGUAAUACUUAGGAAUCUACCUAGUAGUGGGGGAUAGCUCGGGGAAACUCGAAUUAAUACCGCAUACGUCCUACGGGAGAAAGCAGGGGAUCUUUGGACCUUGCGCUAUUAGAUGAGCCUAAGUCGGAUUAGCUAGAUGGUGGGGUAAAGGCCUACCAUGGCGACGAUCUGUAGCUGGUCUGAGAGGAUGAUCAGCCACACCGGGACUGAGACACGGCCCGGACUCCUACGGGAGGCAGCAGUGGGGAAUAUUGGACAAUGGGGGGAACCCUGAUCCAGCCAUGCCGCGUGUGUGAAGAAGGCCUUUUGGUUGUAAAGCACUUUAAGCAGUGAAGAAGACUCUUCGGUUAAUACCCGGGGACGAUGACAUUAGCUGCAGAAUAAGCACCGGCUAACUCUGUGCCAGCAGCCGCGGUAAUACAGAGGGUGCAAGCGUUAAUCGGAAUUACUGGGCGUAAAGCGAGCGUAGGUGGCUUGAUAAGUCAGAUGUGAAAUCCCCGGGCUUAACCUGGGAACUGCAUCUGAAACUGUUAGGCUAGAGUAGGUGAGAGGGAAGUAGAAUUUCAGGUGUAGCGGUGAAAUGCGUAGAGAUCUGAAGGAAUACCGAUGGCGAAGGCAGCUUCCUGGCAUCAUACUGACACUGAGGCUCGAAAGCGUGGGUAGCAAACAGGAUUAGAUACCCUGGUAGUCCACGCCGUAAACGAUGUCUACUAGUCGUUGGGUCCCUUGAGGACUUAGUGACGCAGCUAACGCAAUAAGUAGACCGCCUGGGGAGUACGGCCGCAAGGUUAAAACUCAAAUGAAUUGACGGGGG